rnacentral:rRNA from 1 species
GACGAACGCUGGCGGCGUGCCUAAUACAUGCAAGUCGAGCGAGCUUGCCUAGAUGAUUUUAGUGCUUGCACUAAAUGAAACUAGAUACAAGCGAGCGGCGGACGGGUGAGUAACACGUGGGUAACCUGCCCAAGAGACUGGGAUAACACCUGGAAACAGAUGCUAAUACCGGAUAACAACACUAGACGCAUGUCUAGAGUUUGAAAGAUGGUUCUGCUAUCACUCUUGGAUGGACCUGCGGUGCAUUAGCUAGUUGGUAAGGUAACGGCUUACCAAGGCAAUGAUGCAUAGCCGAGUUGAGAGACUGAUCGGCCACAUUGGGACUGAGACACGGCCCAAACUCCUACGGGAGGCAGCAGUAGGGAAUCUUCCACAAUGGGCGAAAGUCUGAUGGAGCAACGCCGCGUGAGUGAAGAAGGGUUUCGGCUCGUAAAGCUCUGUUGGUAGUGAAGAAAGAUAGAGGUAGUAACUGGCCUUUAUUUGACGGUAAUUACUUAGAAAGUCACGGCUAACUACGUG